rnacentral:rRNA from 1 species
GAUGAACGCUGGCGGCGUGCCUAACACAUGCAAGUCGAACGAUGCUUUCGGGCAUAGUGGCGCACGGGUGCGUAACGCGUGGGAAUCUGCCCUUGGGUUCGGAAUAACAGUGAGAAAUUGCUGCUAAUACCGGAUGAUGUCUUCGGACCAAAGAUUUAUCGCCCAGGGAUGAGCCCGCGUAGGAUUAGCUAGUUGGUGGGGUAAUGGCCUACCAAGGCGACGAUCCUUAGCUGGUCUGAGAGGAUGAUCAGCCACACUGGGACUGAGACACGGCCCAGACUCCUACGGGAGGCAGCAGUGGGGAAUAUUGGACAAUGGGCGCAAGCCUGAUCCAGCAAUGCCGCGUGAGUGAUGAAGGCCUUAGGGUUGUAAAGCUCUUUUACCCGGGAUGAUAAUGACAGUACCGGGAGAAUAAGCUCCGGCUAACUCCGUG